rnacentral:rRNA from 1 species
GUAGGUGGCAAGCGUUGUCCGGAAUUAUUGGGCGUAAAGCGCGCGCAGGCUGUUCUUUAAGUCUGAUGUGAAAGCCCACGGCUCAACCGUGGAGGGUCAUUGGAAACUGGAGAACUUGAGUACAGAAGAGGAAAGCGGAAUUCCACGUGUAGCGGUGAAAUGCGUAGAGAUGUGGAGGAACACCAGUGGCGAAGGCGGCUUUCUGGUCUGUAACUGACGCUGAGGCGCGAAAGCGUGGGGGUGCAAACAGGAUUAGAUACCCUGGUAGUCCACGCCGUAAACGAUGAGUGCUAAGUGUAGGGGGUUUCCGCCCCUUAGUGCUGCAGCUAACGCAUUAAGCACUCCGCCUGGGAGUACGGCCGCAAGGCUG